CAGACCCAAAAACGCACCAAGGCAGUCCAUUAGGCGCGCGCGGGUCAAACAGUCGGGUCACCAAAACGGGUGGGUCUGGACGAGAUGGGUCGCGCGGAGAGAAGUGGGCUGCGCGCGAAGAUGGGACGGGCCGGAUGUGUGCUGUUCGGGCCGGGUGGACGCGAGCGGGCGCGGUUGAAGCGGGCGAACGCCUGGCCGCGCGAUGUCUCGCCACGUUGCGAAUCCUGGACGCGCAAGUGGGUCGGCUGGUACGGUUUCGGGUCAUUUUCGGGUCUGAGCAUGAAAUUCGGGUUUGAGGAAUAGUUGGUCAGAUGAGCAGGCCUUAAGGCCAAGUGGAGUAGGUGGAGGACCUUGAUUAUCUUUUUUGGGCGUGCCAGUAUGUAUGGGUCGUGUGGUGCUCUUUCUUGUAGGAGCUUGGUGUUAGCUUUGCAGGCCAAAGGAGCAUUUGUGGGACAAUUGAGAAGUUCCUUCUCCAUCUGCCCUUCAAAGAGAAAUGAAGCUUUUUGUGGCUUGCUGUGAUGUCUGUAGUUAUUUGGGAUGGUUGGGGAAAGAGGAAGGAUCCAGGGUUUUGUGGUAGGGAAAAGGGAUCAUAAUGAAGUUUGGUCUUGGUUUAGAUUUCACGUGUUCCUUUGGAAGUCGAUUUCAAUGACUUUUUGUAUGCUCUUGUAUUUUCUCAUUUUUCUGGAUGAAAGUAGUUGUUUCUAUAAAAGAAAAACAAAAUA